GACGAACGCUGGCGGCGUGCUUAACACAUGCAAGUCGAACGGAAAGGCCCCCUUGUGGGGUACUCGAGUGGCGAACGGGUGAGUAACACGUGAGUAACCUACCCUUGACUUUGGGAUAACUUCAGGAAACUGGGGCUAAUACCGGAUAGGAGCUCCUGCUGCAUGGUGGGGGUUGGAAAGUUUCGGCGGUUGGGGAUGGACUCGCGGCUUAUCAGCUUGUUGGUGGGGUAGUGGCUCACCAAGGCUUUGACGGGUAGCCGGCCUGAGAGGGUGACCGGCCACAUUGGGACUGAGAUACGGCCCAGACUCCUACGGGAGGCAGCAGUGGGGAAUAUUGCCCAAUGGGCGGAAGCCUUAUGCAGCAACGCCGCGUGCGGGAUGACGGCCUUCGGGUUGUAAACCGCUUUCGCCUGUGACGAAGCGUGAGUGACGGUAAUGGGUAAAGAAGCACCGGCUAACUACGUG
rnacentral:rRNA from 1 species